CGCAGGCGGACCUGCAAGUGCUUUGUGAAAUCCCAUGGCUCAACCAUGGAACUGCUUGGCAUACUGCAGGUCUUGAGGUCGGCAGAGGUCGCCAGAACUCUAGGUGUAACGGUGAAAUGCGUAGAUAUCUAGGGGAAUGCCAAAGGGGAAGCCAGGCGACUGGGCCGAUUCUGACGCUCAGGCACGAAAGCGUGGGUAGCGAACGGGAUUAGAUACCCCGGUAGUCCACGCCCUAAACGAUGUGCACUGGGUCCUGGAGUCUCUGACGACAUCGGGGCCGAAGUUAAAACAUUAAGUGCACCGCCUGGGGAGUACGGUCGCAAGGCUAAAACUCAAAGGAAUUGACGGGGGCUCACACAAGCGGUGGAGCAUGUGGCUUAAUUCGAAGCAACGCGAAGAACCUUAUCCUGGGCUUGACAUGCAUGGAUUAACGCCCGGAAACAGGCGCCACACUCUUUGAGUGGAACAUGCACAGGUGCUGCAUGGCUGUCGUCAGCUCGUGCUGUGAAGUGUCAGGUUAAGUCCUUUAACGAGCGAAACCCUUGCCGUUAGUUACCAGCGGGUCAUGCCGGGCACUCUAACGGGACUGCCGGUGUCAAGCCGGAGGAAGGUGGGGAUGACGUCAAGUCCUCAUGGCCUUUAUGCCCAGGGCUGCACACGUGCUACAAUGGCGACUACAGAGCGACGCGAGGCCGCGAGGCGGAGCAAAUCGCAAAAAGGUCGCCCCAGUUCGGACUGCAGUCUGCAACUCGACUGCACGAAGGUGGAAUCGCUAGUAAUCGCGUAUCAGCUACGACGCGGUGAAUGUGUUCCUGAGCCUUGUACACACCGCCCGUCAAGUCAUGGAAGCUGGGAGCACCCGAAGCCGCCACGAUUCAGUGGUGUCGACGGUGAGCUCGGUGACUGGGACUAAGU
rnacentral:rRNA from 1 species